UACGUAGGGUGCGAGCGUUGUCCGGAAUUAUUGGGCGUAAAGAGCUCGUAGGCGGUCUGUCGCGUCUGCUGUGAAAACUCAGGGCUUAACCCUGAGCUUGCAGUGGGUACGGGCAGACUAAAGUGCGGUAGGGGAGACUGGAAUUCCUGGUGUAGCGGUGAAAUGCGCAGAUAUCAGGAGGAACACCGGUGGCGAAGGCGGGUCUCUGGGCCGUAACUGACGCUGAGGAGCGAAAGCAUGGGGAGCGAACAGG
rnacentral:rRNA from 1 species